CCCUGGAGUCGGGAGGGAGGGGGUCGGGCGCCCGCGCCAGGUGACUCGCGCUCGCUGGUCUCGGAGGGUCGCGGUCCCCCGCGGGCCGAGGGCGGAGCGCGCGCCCGAUUAGGCGCCCACGGCCGCGCACACCUGAGGGCCCGCGCCGCGGGCACACGCCUCCUUCUUGCUCGCGCCCGAGCUGCGGGCCGCGCCCAGGGCCGGGGUGCCUCGCGUCACGCGGAGGCCUCAAUAAAGGGCUUUGUGGUGCCAGUUCCUUCCGCCAGGGGCGCGGGGAGCCAGGCCCGGGACGGGAGCCCGCGGGGGCCUUCGGGUUAAGCAGCCGAGGCCCGCACACACUUGACGGAACAAAACUUACGAGCAAAAGAGCUGUAAGCUAGGCCUUUCUCUGAAAAUGACACUUUUAAGUGUCGGGGAGUUGUAUUAAGCGACCCGGGGAUUUGGUUGUGGGGACCAUGUGGGGGCACCACUUGAAGAAAUGUGCUCCGUUCUGGCGUGUUCACUGUGAGCGAGGCUCACCGGUGACGCCUGAGGAGCGGAGGCGCUGUUGUCAAUGUUCACUCUCCCUGGUGGGUCACGGCCGCUAGAAACGCUAAAAAGGCCCAAGCCUAGCUGUGAUGCGGUAUGUGUUCAUCGUGGUCAGGGCAAGACAGAUUAGAGGAGGUAGCCUGAUGGACCAGUUCCUGAAGUCAGUGCACUGUGGUGAUUCAGGAGGAAUCUAUUUUAAUACAUCGUAGAUGGUCGCCACCUAAACGUCAAAGGAAAACAGCCCACCUAUUUCACAUGGGUCUUGGAAUCAGAACAGGGUCCUUGUGAGGAUUAAAGAGCAUGUCUGUACAUUCUCUGCCAACCGACACGUGAUCUCUAUACCCAUUGUGGAGCUUGAACCUAUGACCCCGAGAUCAAGAGUCAAACACUCCUCCGACUGAGCCAGCCAGGCACCCCUGGAUUCUGCAUUUUAAAGAGGCUUUCCAGGAAACUAGAAAGAACGUGCUUCUCCAAAAUGAGGGAAUAAACCAAAAAGAGAAAGACAUGGGAUCCAGUACGCAAGAACCUCCCUUCUGAAAGGAAGACAGUAGACAAGACCAGACCUCCAUCAUGAGGGGAAGACAGUUUAUUGUUGCUGACGUAGAGGAAUGAAACUAAUUUGUGUAUGCUGUGCUGGUAUGAGAAACAUUAUUCAAUUCUCUUAUUAGUUCUGAUGAACAGACUUGUUAUUUUCCACUGACUGGCAGCAAUGGCGUUCACCGGAAGGGUCAAGAAUAGCGGCAGCAGCUUGUACAAUGAAGACAGAAACCUGCUUCGAAUUAGAGAGAAGGAAAGACGCAACCAGGAAGCUCACCAAGACAAAGAGGCAUUUUCUGAAAAGAUCCCCCUUUUUGGAGAGCCCUACAAGACAGAAAAAGGUGAUGAGCUAUCCAGUCGAAUACAGAACAUGUUGGGAAACUAUGAAGAAGUGAAGGAGUUCCUUAGUAGCAAGUCCCACCCUCAUCACUUGGAUGCUUCUGAAAAUAGGUUGGGAAGGCCAAGAUAUCCUUUAUUUCCUGAGAAGGGGAGCAGCAUUCCAUCCCACUCCUUCCACACUAGUGCCCACCACCAGCCUGUUAACACUCCUGCCUCUGGACCACUUCCUGUUGGUAACAUUAGCCACAAUCCAAAGAUGGCACAGCCAAGAAUGGAACCAAUGUCAAAUCCUCGUGUCAAAAGCUAUGGGCCACCAGACAGCCAGCACCCGACCCAAGAUCGCCUCGGUCAGGAGGGGUGCAGCUCCAGUCAUCACAGAAAGGGUGACCGCAGGGCUGAUGGAGACCGCUGUGCUUUGGUGACAGACUCCGCUCCAGAGAGGGAGCUCUCUCCCUUACUCUCCUUGCCUUCCCCAGUGCCCCCCCUGUCACCUGUACGUUCCAACCAGCAGACUCUUCCCAGGACACAAGGAAGCAGCAAGGUUCACAACAGUAACAGUAACAAUAAAGGCUAUUGCCUAGCCACAUCUCCCAAAGACCUCGUGGUAAAGGUCCACGAUAAAGAGACUCCUCAAGACAAUUUAGUGGCAGUUGCCAGCCUUGGGGUGGCCCCUCCCCAGCCACCUUCUCAGACUUUUCCCCCACCUUCCCUCCCCUCAAAAACUGUUGCAAUGCAGCAGAAGCCCACAGCUUAUGUCCGGCCCAUGGAUGGUCAAGAUCAGGCUCCUAGUGAGUCUCCUGAACUGAAGCCCCUGCCGGAAGACUACCGGCAACAGACCUUUGAAAAAACAGAUUUAAAAGUGCCUGCCAAAGCCAAGCUCACCAAGCUGAAGAUGCCGUCUCAGUCAGCUGAGCAGACCUACUCCAAUGAAGUUCAUUGUGUUGAAGAGAUUCUGAAGGAAAUGACCCAUUCAUGGCCGCCUCCUUUGACAGCAAUACACACGCCUAGUACAGCCGAGCCCUCCAAGUUUCCUUUUCCCACAAAGGAUUCUCAGCACAUCAGUUCUGCAACCCAAAACCAAAAACAAUAUGAUACAUCUUCAAAAACCCACACUAAUUCUCAGCAGGGAACAUCCAUGCUUGAAGAUGACCUUCAGCUCAGUGACAGUGAGGACAGUGACAACGAACAAAGCCCAGAGAAGCCUCCUCCUGUAUCUGCACCUCCAAGUGCUCCGCAGUCGCUUCCGGAAGCAGCGGCCUCAGCACAUUCCAGCAGUGCCGAGUCAGAGAGCACCAGUGACUCAGACAGCUCCUCGGACUCGGAGAGCGAGAGCAGCUCAAGUGACAGCGAAGAGAAUGAACCCCUAGAAACUCCAGCUCCUGAGCCUGAGCCUCCUACAACAAACAAAUGGCAGCUGGACAACUGGCUGACCAAAGUCAACCAGCCGGCAGCACCCCCGGAGGCGCAGGGGAGCGCAGAGCCCCUGCCUCGGCACCCCGACAGUAAGGGCAAGGGUGGGGGCGACAGCGGCGGCCCCGUCCCUGGUCACGAGCGCUCGGAAUCCAAAGAUCCUCCCCUCAAAAGCUCCAGCAAAGCCCCUCGGGGCUCCUCUGAAGGCCCCCACGCCGGCAAGAGAAGCUGUCAGAAGUCCCCCGCGCAACAGGAACCCCCGCCGAGGCAGACCGUCGGAACCAAACAGCCCAAGAAGCCCGUCAAGGCCUCGGCCCAGGCGGACUCGCGGGCCGGCCUGCAGGUGGAGAGUGAGCCAGGACCCCCUCCGUACGGCUCCAAAGACCAGCCUUCCAAAGACAAGCCCAAGGUGAAGACGAAAGGCCGGCCCCGUGCCGGAGACAGCAGAGAGCCCAAGCCCGCGGCGCCUAGCCCCAGCGAGCGGAAGAAGCACAGGAGCGCGCCGCUGGCCCCCUCAAAGGCGCUCUCGGGCCCGGAGCCCACGAAGGACAAUGCGGGGGCCAGGAGCCCCGAGCACUUUGCCCUGGUUCCCCUGACCCAGAGCCAGGGCCCACCCCACGGCGGCGGCGGCGGCGGCAGGACUAGUGGCUGCCGGCGCGCUGUGGUCGUCCAGGAGGACCGCAGGAAGGACAAGCUCCCGGGGCCCGCGAGAGACCCCAAGCUGCUGUCCCCGCUCAGGGACACUCCUCCCCCUCCAAUCUUGAUGGUGAAGAUAACCCUGGACCUUCUUUCCCGGAUACCCCAGCUUCCUGGCAAGGGGGGCCGUCCGAGGAAAUCCGAGGACAAGCAGCCCCCCGCAGGAAAGAAGCUCGAUUCGGAGAAGAGGGGCUCUGACAAUUCAAGCAAGUUGGCCAAAAAAAGAAAGGCUGAAGCAGAGAAAGACCACGAUAGCAAGAAGGCCAGACUGGAGAAAGAAACCAAGUCACAGUCAUCAUCUUCAUCCUCCCACAAAGAAUCUUCUAAAACAAAAACAUCCAGGCCCUCCUCUGAGUCCUCAAAGAAGGAAGCGCUUCCCCACCCACCUGCAUCUUCAUCCUCCUCCUCCUCCUCCUCCUCCUCCUCCUCCUCCUCCUCCCAGAAGCCAGCCAAGCCUGCACAAAAGAGGCCAAGGCGGGAAGCCGACCCCUGCAGCCAGGACCCUCCCCAAAGUGCCAGUUGUAGCAAGGGCAACCACAAAGACUCUUCCGCCCCCAAGCACAGAAAAGUUGAGGGGAAGGGACCUGGAAGCAGUACAGAGCACAAAGGAUCUUCUGGAGAUACUGCAUAUCCUUUUCUAGUGCCUUCUUUGCCAAAUGGUAACUCGAAACCAGGGAAGCCUCCAGUGAAGCCUGACAGACAACAAGCAGAUUUUCACAUGAAGGAGGCCAAAAAGUUGAAGCAAAAAGCAGAGUUAAUGACAGACAAGGUUGGGAAGGCUUUUAAGUACCUGGAGGCCGCCUUGUCCCUCAUUGAGUGUGGGAUUGCCACGGAGUCGGAAAGCUCAACGUCCAAGUCGGCUUACUCGGUGUACUCGGAAAGCGCAGACCUCAUUAAAUUUAUAAUGUCGUUAAAAUCCUUUUCAGACGCCUCAACUCCACAAGAGAAAAUAUUUGCUGUUUUAUGCAUGCGUUGCCAGUCCAUUUUGAACAUGGCGAUGUUUCGUUGUAAAAAAGAUACAGCAAUAAAGUAUUCUCGUGCUCUUAACGAACACUUCAGCAGUUUUUUCAAAGUUGCCCAGGCACCUUCUCCAUGCAUUGCAAGAAGCACAGGCACACCGUCCCCUGUCUCUCCGAUGCCUUCUCCUGCCAGCUCCGUCGGCUCCCAGUCAAGUGCUAGCAGCGGAGGGAGCGGCGGCAUGCCUGUCACCAUCCAAAACAUGACGUCGUCUUAUGUCACCAUUACAUCCCACGUCCUUACCGCCUUCGAUCUUUGGGAGCAGGCUGAGGUCCUGACGAGGAAGAAUAAAGGUUAGGUUGACCUCUACUUACAUUGAUCCUACUGAACAGACCCCCAACCUCACUCAGCAAGCUUGUGGCAGAGUCGACAAGCAGCAAGAACCGUUUCUGCUUUGGGUGUCUUGAGGCACGUAUGGGCUGCGCGCACCCCAGGCGCCAUGAAGCCAUGUUACUGUCGUUGAGCACCGAGCAACUCUGAGGUAAGCACGCCUUGCCCUUUGUGUCCUAUGCAGUCUUUGCAUUAGCAACCAUUUUGGCACUUUUGGAGUCUGAGUUAUUUAAAGAGAUAUUGGUUUACUCUGUGCCAGGGUUGUUGGAAAUGUAAAUUGUCACAACCCAGGCUUCUUUUACUUAGGACAUCUAGGUGUUGAGAAUCUUCUAAUCCGUUCUAAACAACUUUGAAGCCCAACAGGUCUUUACCUUAAUAUAAGCAGAGCUUUAUCUGCUGUUCCUUUGGCUGUGCUUAAAUAAAUGUACCCGUCUCGUCGGUUUUGUCUUAGAACAGGACUCGGUCAGUGUUUGUGGUUUCCCCAUAGAUCACACUCCGCUGAAAGCAAGACUGUAGUGAGACAUCAAGGCUCAGAUAAUAAAGACCUGUGCCCUUCCAACAGACUGGAGGGCGGACCUGGAAUACUUUUCUAAACAGAUAAUUCUAUUUUAGCUUCAAAAGACCAUGUGCCUGCCCUGGAUAAGUGCUGUAAAUCACCCUUUUCUACUACUGGGGCCCAGUCCUAACUUCUCAUUUACCUUACUUGAUGGGUAGGCGGCAGAAACAAUUACGGGUUUGUAGCUCUCUACUGCUAAAUAUUCCUAUAACUUAUCAUCUAAGCAACAGUACACACACAAACAGGCACAUGCACACAUUUUUCUACAGGUGUAUACACUCUUGGAUGUGAAAAAUGAAUUGUACUCAACCGCAUGGGCUUUAGAAGUAGGUCUUCAGUUUAACUCUUCUACUCCCUGCUUUUCCAUCUUUGUCUUGCGGUCUUUGAAGAAACUCUUCCUGCAGGGAGGUCUCAGCACCCAGCACUGCAACUGAGGACUUGCCAAGCAUCUUAAGGAGGGAGGGAGUGAUACAAUAGACUGGCUUUGCAGAGCUUCCCAAGCCUACAUAUACAUGUAAAUCAUUUUGGAAUUUUUUUAAUCUUGUUUUCAACUGAAUUGCAAAGAGGCUAAUUAAAAAAUAUAUAUAUCAAAUGACAUAAAAGCAUACAAAGCAAAAACUUGCAAGGGCAGACAUACUCCACCCCUUUCCCUCCAGAGCUAACAGCCAUAAAGUUUGGUGCAUCUCAUUCCAGAACUUUUAUUGUGCCCUUAUACCUUGUUUUUUUUUCUUUUAAAGAUUUUAUUUUUGACAGAGAAAGACACAGCGAGAGAGGGAACACAAGCAGGGGGAGUGGGAGAGGGAGAAGCAGGCUUCCCGCGGAGCAGGGAGCCCGAUGCGGGGCUUGAUCCCAGGACCCUGGGACCAUGACCCGAGUCGAAGGCAGACACCCAACGACUGAGCCACCCAGGCACCCUUAUACCUUGUUUUUAAACAUAGAUGUGGAAUAUACCAUAUUCUGAUUCUUUCAUUUUACUCAGUCUUUUUAUGGUAAUCCUAUUUUGGCUACACAGUAUUGUGCAGUAAGGAUAUAUCACCCUUUAUGUAAACAUUCUCGCAUUAUGCAUAUGUGCCUCUCCUGGGCACUCCCCCCAUUAUUCUGUUACAGUGCUGUACUGAUGAUUUUUUUUUUUUUUUUUUGAGGGAUCUUGAUAUACACAUCAUUUUAAGUCUUUUAGUAAGGGGGAUGUCUGGAACAAAAGAUAAAUUUAAGAUUUUUUAUGUUAACCAAACCACUUCUCCCAAAAAGCUUUCAUACCAACUGUGGAUGGGCGUGUAUUCUUUUUUUUUCCUGCUUACUUAUUUUUCAUCAUGAUAAGCGUACUCUUUAAUCCUCUACCCCGCCCCCCCAACCUCCCCUCUGGUUAACCAUUAGCUUGUUCUCUAUCCUUAAGAGUCUGUUUCUUGGUUUGUCUCUCUCUUUUUUUUUUUUUUCCAUUUGUUUUGUUUCUUAAAUUCCACAUAAUGAGUAAGAUCAUACGGCAUUUGUCUUUCUCUCACAUUUCGUUUAGCAUUAUACUGUCUAGCUCUAUCCAUGUUGCAGAUAGCAAGAUUUCAUUCUUUUCUAUGGCUGAAUAAUAUUCUCACGUUGUAUAUAACACUUUUUUUUUUUUUUUAAGAUUUUAUUUAUUUAUUCAUGAGAGAGAGAGAGGCAGAGGGAGAAGCAGACUUCCCGCAGAGCGGGGAGCCCGAUGCGGGACUCGAUCCCGGGACUCCGGGACCAUGACCCGAGCCGAAGGCAGACGCUUAACCAUCUGAGCCACCCAGGCGCCCAUAUAACACGUCUUCUUUAUCCAUUCAUCUGUCAGUGGACACUUGGGCUGCUUCCACAGUUUGGCCAUGGUAAAUAAUGCUGCUAUAAACAUAGGAGUGCAUGUAUCCCUUUGAAUUAGUGUUUUUGUAUUUUGGGGGUAAAUACCCAGUGGUGUGAUUGCUGGAUCAUCGGAUAGUUCUAUUUUUAAUUUUUUGAGAAACCUCCGUACUGUUUUCCUCAGUGGCUGUACUACUUUGCAUUUCUUUCAACAGUGCAAGAGGAUUCCUUUCUCUCUACAUCCUUACCAACACUUGUUAAUUUCUUGUGUUUUUUAUUUUAGCCCGUCUGAGAGGUAUAAGGUAAUACCUCAUGGUGGGGUUUUUUUGUGUUUUUGUUUUUGUUUUGGCUUUUUUUUUUCUUUAAAGAUUUUAUUUAUCUGCCAGAGAGCGCGUAAGUGCACAAGCAGGGGGAGCGGCAGGCAGAGGGAGAAGCAGGCUCCCUGCUGAGCAAGGAGUCCGACUCAGGACUCGAUCCCAGGACCCUGAGACCAUGACCUGAGCUGAAGGCAGCCGCUUAACCGACUGAGCCACCUAGGCGUCCCCCUUAUGGUGGUUUUGAUUUGCAUUUCACUGAUGAUGAGUGGUGUUGAGCACCUUUUCAUGUGUCUGUCUUCUUUGGAGAAAUGUCUGUUCAUGUCAGCUGCCCAUUUUUUAAUCGGAUUAUUUGUUUUUUUAGAUGUUGAAUUUGUAUAAGUUUUUUAUAUAUUUUGGAUACUAACCCUUUAUCGGAUAAGUCAUUUGCAAAUAUCUUUUCCCAUUCAGUAGGUUGCUUUUUGUUGUUGAUUGUUUCCUUUACUGUGCAGAAGCUUUUUAUUUUGAUGUAGUCUCAACAGUUUAUUUUUUAUUUCCCUUGCCUCAGGAGACAUAGCUAGAAAAAUGUUGCUAUGGCCAACGUCAGAGAAAUGACUGUCUGCGCUCUCUUCAAGGAUUUUUAUGAUUUCAGGUCUCACAUUUAGGUCUUUCAUCCAUUUUGAGUUUUUAUGUAUGGUGAAAGAAAGUGGUCUAGUUUCAUUCUUUUGCAUGUGGCUGUCCAGUUUUCCCAACACCAUUUGUUGAAGAGACAAUCUUUUUUCCAUUGUAUAUUCAUUCCUCCUUUAUUAAGAUUAAUUGACCAUAUAAUUGUGGGUUCAUUUUUGGAUUUUCUAUUCCAUUGAUCUAUGGGUCUAUUUUUAUGCUAGUACCAUACUGUUUUUUUUUUUUUUAAAGAUUUUAUUUAUUUGAGAGAGAGAAUGAGAUAGAGAGAGCAUGAGGGGGGAGGGUCAGAGGGAGAAGCAGACUCGAUCCCGAGACUCCAGGAUCAUGACCUGAGCCGAAGGCAGUCGCUUAACCAACUGAGCCACCCAGGCGCCCCAGUACCAUACUGUUUUAAUUAUCACCACUUUGUCAUAUAAUUUGAAAUCUAGAAUUGUGGUACCUCCAGUUUUCUUUCUCUUUUUCCAGAUUGCUUUGGCUAUCCGGGGCCUUUCGUGGUUCCAUACAAAUUUUAGGAUUGUUUGUUCUAGUUCUGUGAAAAAUGCUGCUGGUGUUUUGAUAGGGAUUACAUUAGAUCUGUAGAUUGCUUUGAGUAGUACAGACAUUUUAACAGCAUUUUUUCUUCCAACCUAUGAGCAUGGAAUGUCUUUCCAUUUCUUUGUGUCAUCUUCAGUUUCUUUCAUCAGUGUUUUAGAGGGUUUGUUUUUUUUUUUUAUCAGAGUAUAGCUAGGUCUUUCACCUUCCUGGUUAAAUAGGUAUUUUAUUCUUUUUGAUGCAAUUAUAUAUAAAUGACAUUGUUUUCUUAAUUUCUCUUUCUGCUGCUUCAUUAUUAGUGCAUAAGAAUGCAAAAGAUUGCAUUGUACAUAGAUUUUGUAUCCUGCGACUUUACUGAAUUCAUUUAUCAGUUCUAGUAGUUUCCUGGCGGAGUCUUCAGGGUUUUCUAUAUUUAGUAUUCUGUCAUCUGCAUAUAGUGAGUAGUGAGUUUUACUUCUUCCUUACCAAUGUGGAUGCUUUUUAUUUCUUUUUUGUUAUCAACUGCUGUGGCUAGGACAUCCAGUACUAUGCUGAAUAAAAGUGGUGAGAGUGGACAUCCUUGUCUUGCUCUGACCUUAGGGGGAAGGCUCUCAGUUUUUCACCAUUGAGUAUGAUGUUGGCUGUGGGUUUUUUUAUAUAAGGCCUUUAUCAGGUUGGGCAUACAUCCUUGCCAGCUUUGGAUACAGUAUGAAAAACCUUACCCAAUUCGCACUUCUCUGACAACUGAAAUUGACCAUUUUGUCACAGAUUUAUUGGCCAUUUGUUUCUGGUUCUGUGGAAUUGCCUAUUCCUGUGCUUAGCUCAUUUUCUAUGAGGUUAUCUUUUUUCUUCUAAUUUGGAAAUUAAGAAACCUGGACUAGGUUGUUGAUUGCCUCUAACCCAUUGCAUGACCCUUCCCAAGUUUGCUCCAUAGCUUGCACCUCAGAAAACAUCAUCCUCGAGCUGCUUACAAUUCCCAUUUCUUUUUUUCCAACCCUUUAGGAGGCAAUGAUCGAUCCCUGUGUAAGUGAAACUGCAUGCACAACACUGACAUAGAAUUUGAAGGCCCAUUAAUCUUUAAAGCAUACUACUAGUCCAAGCAAAUAAUAUUCAUCCUGGACAAACUGAAAGCUGUGAAAUAUUGGCAGUUUUGAAGCCCACUGUUUGUACAGAAUGAACUUCACCGUAGGUUUCUUUGUGGCCUACAGAGAUCAAAUCUCUGAUCAAAUUAGUCACAGGUCAGUCCCGAGCCUCAUUUGACUACAGUCCUAUUAACCUGAUAUUUGCUUAUUUUAAAUGAAAGUAAAAGAACAAGGGAAGACUGAUUUCUUAUCCCUGUGAAGUUUACUUCUGUCCAUUCAAUAGUCUGAGUGAUUGCUUUGUGUCAAUGACGUGCUUCAGAAUGUGUUAACACAGAGCAUAGGGCAGGGUGCCCAGCUUCCGGACGGCGUGUCUCAUUUCCAUCCAGGUGACAGGUAACUUCAGAUUUGGUACUUUCCCAUCCAGAUUUGCCGUUGUCCUUGCCUCCAGCCAGUCUUAAUAUAGAUGCUUUUGUAAAACUAACACCCUGUGGCUACACUGUUCAGACUGAGUUAUUUCAAGCUUGAAAUAACUCUUGUGCCCUGUGUAUUUGUCCUCUUGUGCCCUGUGUAUUUGUCCUAAACUCCCCAGAGCAAAAUGGAGCUACUCAGCCUUUUUUCCUUUCAUUUACUACAUCCAUGAUACAUCCCCAUCCCUACGGCACAACAGACAUAGAAAAUGGAAACAUGGGGAAGGGAAAAAGAAUGUGGGUUAAACUGUGUGUGCUGUAGUUUCCAUAGUCUCUAAUUUUAAAACUACCUUUCAAAUUAGUCACUAUCAUGCUUUACAGAUGAUAAAACUUAAAGUAAGUUACGGUCAAGCAGCUAGGAAAAGGUGAGACCCAAAUUAUGAUACAGAUUUGUCUUUCAUGAUGAAGGAUUUUGCUUAUGAGAAUGAACUGGAGGAAAUGUGGCUUAUAUAAGCUUUGUUUUUUGUUUUUAAGAUUUUAUUUGAGAGCGAGCGAGCACACACACACACACACGUGCAGGUGGGAGGGAGAGGGAAGAGCAGACUCAGCACUGAGUGCAGAGCCUGGUGCAGGGCUUGAUCUUAGGACCCCGAGAUCUUGAGCCAAUACCAAGAGUCAGACGCUUAACCAGCUAAGCCACCCAGGCACCCCAAUAUAAGCUGUUUUGUUUUGUUUUUUAAAUAGGCUGUUUUAAUGUCAUCUACAACCAGUAUCCUAACUCUGUUUUAACAUUUAACCAGUUUUGGAUUGUAUUAGAGACAAUUCGUAAAAUUGGAUUGUGGGUAGGAAUUAGACGUUCUUUAAAAUAGAACUUGAGAAGGAAGUCCUGAGAAUCUUCAGUCAUUAGACAUGACUAACCCAGUGGGGGUUUUCCAAGUCUGAGGUUGCUUUACAUAUGACUUGUAGAUUUUCUCCACUUACUAGAGUAAGAAUACAAGUAUACCUCUAGUGCUUGCAGAAAUUAGUUUUUUUUCUUUUUAUGAGUACAUGUAUUAUUUAAUAAAGUACAAUAAAACAAAAUUUAGUGAUAAACCUUUAAAGAAACUAGCAUAAAACAAAAGUUCUAAAGUCAUGAACAAUGCAAAGUAAGCUUUAAAGGUUAAAACCCCAGCAAAUAUGAAAUAACUGAAACAGGCAACAGCAUGAAUCCCCCCACCACUCCCCACCCAGGGCCCUCCAAGUUGGAGAAUAGUAGGACCAAAUAAAACUUCAGCUCAGAAACUGAUGACUUUGAAGGCUGAGCAGGACGCUUCUCACUUUCGUAAUGCAGUGUCUAGGAAAAACAACCAGAAGCCAAAAACAGUAAUCAUCCUCUACCUUGUGCAAGUCACCUGAAUGUCUGGUACUAUUUCCUCACCUGUAACAAAAAAGAAAGGCUAUCCUAAAGUCUAUGAAGUGAAAAAUGUUAGUAAUGUAUUUGUUAAAUGUGAUGGGUUAAAAUUUAGAGAUUGUGACACAGAACUUACUAAAAAGACUUACUAAAAAGACUUACUAAAAGUCCUUCAAAAUCAUCAUCUUGGGGUGGGGGGUGGUUGUACACAUGUAUGAGCAUUGUUCCAAACAGAUGUAGAACACUUUAAAGUUGUUUGCAGGACUAGAUGGGCAAGCAUACACCUUAUUUUAUGAUCGUUUUUCUGGGAAGAAUUAAACAAUACUGUCCACCAGACUUGGCUCUAAAACACCAAUUUUCAAAAAGCAGAGGAAAAACAAUGUCCCUGUUAAAUAAUUCCAGUAUCUCCUUAUGUUUCUUUUGGUCAUGAUGGCAGCAUCACUGGAUUAAUCAAAAUUUCUACAUAUUCUUUAUAUAUAGCAAUAUUCAUUAUAGCAACAUUUUUAAAGUUCUAAUACAAUAAUAAAAAUUAUUUUAAUUCCAGAGUAUUUUAAUUUUUCCUUCUCUCCAGUGCUUAACCUGAAGUUGAAUAGACUUUCUCCUAUACUAAACCUUAUACCCUGUAUCCACCUCGGUUGGGAACAUAAGCGAAUUCGACUAUAUUUUAACUAUGGAGUAGAAUUACUGUGUACAAAAAUGUCACACACAGAUGGCUUGGCCUCUUUACUUCCUCUUGCCUCCAUUUGACUGGAACAGGAAAUCAACCAUGGGGAGGCCCAUCCAUUAUAUUCUCUACUAUUCUGUGUUCAGGCAUUUGCAUAUACGUAUGUAUGUAUGUGUAUAUGUGUAUCUAUACACACAAAUGAAUAUCCAUGAUUGAUUAUUUAAUGGACAUAUAAGGAUAGUUAAGUGCAUUGUUAGCACAAUGCAUUUACCUAAAACACAGGAAGUUAGGGAAAUUUCACAUAUGGACAUUUCGUUAAAAAAAAAAGUGCAAUAUCCUGUUGUAUUAAAGCAAAAGUUGUAGGUUCUUACAUUAAACCAUUAAAUGUUUGGUUCUGCUUCCCUAAUUUCCUGAACCCACAUCUUUCAUUACUUACCAAAUAUACAUUCCUGUAAGUAAAUCCCUGGCCAGGUUCCUUCUUUGGCUCAAUUUCUUUGCUAUUUUUAAUGUGCAUAGUGCUCUCUCCUUUCAGCAGAGCCCAGGAGCCUGGGGUCAGCCGAGACCCAUUCUCCUAAAACUUUACAACUCUCUACAGGCGUAUUUACAAAGUGUUACCUGAAAAUACCAAGGAGCCACUAGACAUGCCAUUUGUGUGCAAUUCAUUAAAAAGAAUUUACAUUCAUUCUACUAGUAAGAAUUAUUUACUUCUCUGGCUCUGGCUUGAAAGGAUAUGGUAGGUGUGAGUCAACAAAACUGUCUCUGUCCUCUUCCUCCCCUUAUUCAUAGGCAUUAGUCACUCACAGGUGUAAACCCAUACACCAAAAGAUCUGCGUCAUAAAGUGGAGGAGAUCUGAAACACAAAAGCGUAGAGUUUUGACUGUACCGUACCUCGGGGGAUUAAGUACAAACCACAGCCAACAGCCAGCUCCUGAGGAUUCUUCUUAGUGGUAAUGAGGAAAACAUUUUGAACCUGGGCCUCAAAUUGCAGUAUGCUAAGCAAUGCAGGAACAACAUGAAAUGAAUGUAAAUUUUAACAAGUUUUAGCUUUAGGCUUCUCAUUAGUGCCCUUACCCCAAUUGUAAUGCGCAGAAUGCACCACUAGAGAGCAGUCAUUUCCCUUAGGAAAAACUACACGGAUUUAACCACAAGAAGGUGCCACUUCACACCCAGUAGAAUGGCUAUAAGCAAAGAAAAAGACAUACAGUGUUGGAAAGGAUGAAGAGAAACCAGAAACCUCAUACUGUGCAGAUGGGAAUAUUCUACAGUACAGCCCCUGUGGAUAAGUUUAGUAGUUUCUUAAAAAUCGUUACCAUACAAUCCAACAAUUCCAGUUGUAUGAACCUAUGAAGAUAAAUGAAAACAUGUUUAUGUUGAGACAUGCUCAUGAACAUUCAUGGCAGUGUUAAAAAAACAGAGACCAGCCUUGAAAAUUCUCUGAACAGACAAAACCAAUUUAGUCACACAAACAAAACUUAAUUUACCUUAUUUUGCAAGACUAACUUGACCUGGGUCAUUUCUUGCUUAUGUCUGUGAAAAUCAUAAGCAAAACUUGAACAGUUCCCAAAGUUGGUACACACUGACCAAUUCCCUACCAUUUAAGAAAAUUCUAAUUUAACCAAAGACUGUGAAGAAUAAACAGCUGCUGCUUUCUCACUAUAUAAGACACUUGAUAACAAACAUUCCUCUGAGCCUCAUUCCAUGUUUUGGUUUGAGUGCUCCCGGUGUGUGUACGAGACACUUUUACUAAUUACUACUUUGGUGAUGGGUUAGUUUUACUUCUGCUGUUUCUGAACUUCUGCCAUGUCCUGGCAACAGAAAUGGGAUCCAAAGACGACCCCGAAUGUCUCCAAGGCCAGUGAACAAACAGGUGCUGGUAUCCAUGAAGCCCACAGAACUCACUGCUUUCUCAUUAAUCAUGGAACUUGAGGGUAGGUCUCUCUGGGAUCUGAGCUCUGCUCUUUGUUUUGAGCUCUCUAACUUCAUAGUGCACACCUGCAUUUUGCUUGUUGGAGCUUCUUGGUAAGUCAUUCUACUCAGUGAAUUGGGGGGGCUGGAAUGUGAUUUCCCUGUGUUUUGAAACCGUUAGAAAACAGGGCCUCUCUCAGUUUAGACAUCUAAAGGCAAAGACAGUUUCCACCUGGUUUAUGGAUGAGGCUCUUGUGCCUUUUUGGAAAAUGAGUGAACUUCUGAAAUUGGGGUGGCCACUUUGGGGAACCUUUAAUGUAGAUAGGUCCACCUUAAGAAGCACCCUUAAAAGAGAAGAUUCCAAACCUCUCAGAGACCAUGGAAUGCAUCCUUUCACUGAUAGGCAGCAAUUAAAGACAAAAAUAACUCCAAAAAGAGCUCUGAAAGCAUCCCUAGAACAUGCAAAUAAAAAAUCUUUGGCCAUCUGAGCAUGUAACCUUAACUUUAGUCCAUCUGUCAGAAACACAGUUUGGGAGGCACCUGCGUGGCUCCAGUUGGUUGGGUGUCCCACUUUUGAUUUCUACUCAGGGCAUGAUCUUGGGGUCAUGAGAUCAAGCCCCUCAUCGGGCUCUGUGCUGGGCUCGGAGCCUGCUUAAGAUUCUCUCCCUCCACUCUUGCAGGCAUGCACGCGCUCUCAAAAAUAUAAAAACAGCUUGGAUCCAACAAUUCUUUUGACUUUUGUACCUGAGACGUGGGUAAAAUUUUCACAACAAAAGCUUUAAGAUCUCUGUGGAUGUCUGUAUGUUUAUGUACGCCUAUGCAUAUUACAGGUGUGAUAUUUUGCUUUUUCCAGAUGGUAUUACCAAAUUAAAUUGCAAAGAGUUCUUUUUAAUUUACUUAAAAAAAAAAUUAAGUGUUUUAUCAAGUAUACUCUCAGAAGUAUAGGAACUAACCCAGAUGUUUUUCAAGGUCAUAUGAUCUGAGAUAAUCUUAAAUAAAAACUUGUUUAAGUUUGCUGGUUUAAUAAAAGCAGGUAUGUCUUCAAAAUUUGCCAAAAAGAAAAAUAAGAUGGUUAGUUGCUUGAUGCCUACUCCAAACAUGAGUGUUUAAAGCAAUAACUUGAAGUUUAAUUUUAACUGAAUGGUGGAUAUUCAUUGGAUAUCUAAAUCAUUUCUAAACUUAUAUUUAGCAUUUAAUGUUUACCUACUUUUGGCUUUUUAAUUUUCUACAGGGAGAUAAAAGAUACUUGGGUCCAUUAAUAAACAUGGUUGGUGCCACACCAAAGAAUCUAUGAGGAAGAAUAUACUUCUAGAAACUAUGAGAUAUAUUUAUAAAUUUGUCAACCCACAGUUGCUUUUUUCUUAGGAUCUUUAAUUCCUAGUGAAAACAGUUAAGAAUUCUAAUAUAUGUAAUAUUAAAAUUACUAGAAAUAAUAGGGAUAAAAAAACAAACUGUAGAUGAAAAGUAGGUAAGGAGGGGCACCUGGGUAGCUCAGUCAGUUAAGUGUCCCAACUCCUGAUCUCAGCUCAGGUCUUGAUCUCAGGGUCGUGAGUUCAAGCCCCCACGUUGGGUUCCAUGCUGGGCGUGGAGCCUACUUUAAAAAAAAAAAAAAAAAAGUAGGUAAGGAAAACAAUGUAUUUUUUGGCUAAGGAAAGGUAUGAAGGACUUGGGAGUUUUUACCUUGUUCUUUAGGGAAAAAAAUAAUUUUGUCCUAAAGUAAAAUGAUUGUUCCAGAAGAAGAAAGGAAUCUUAAGUGUGAUCCAGCCAAGAUUAGAAUGGAUUUAAGUUUUAAAAAGACUUUUAAUAUCAAAAGUAUACUGAUGCACAUUAAAAUUUGGUUUCCUCUCUGUUAAAAGAGCCAAGUUUCUUCCUUAGAUUAUUGGUCUGCUUUUAAUAAGAAAUUGUAAACGAAGUGGUUUUCUUAACUUUAAUGUAAUUUGCCUAGGAAACAAAGAUCUGUAUCUUACGAAAAUAUUUCCUGUGCUUCAAGCCCUUGAAUCUUCUAUUAAAAAAGCUAAGAUUUUUUUACAACUAUGAAACUUCUAUGUAUUUGCCUUUGCAAUCUUCUGUCACUUUGGUUGAAUGGAUAACUAAGCAUCGUUUCACAGUGACCAAUGAUCAUAUUGGAUCAAAUGUUUUAAAUCUUUUGACAUUUUUUGACAAACUUCCCCAAAUCAAAUUCUGAAUGAAAAAGAGAAGUAUUAAUUUAUCUAGGCUUAUUUGAUACAUUAAAUUGCAUGGGAAACAUCAAAUUGCUUAACCUUCUUAGAUCCUAUUUCUGGGAUAUGUAGGUCAUUAAAAUCAGAAAUUAUAAAAUUUUUAAGAAUUUCAUAUGUCGGUAUAGUGUUAUCAGUCAUAGUUUCAAGUAUGAUCUUAAAAUAUUGUAGAUCAUAAAAAAUAACCAAAUUUACUUGCCAGUUGCAUCAUCUUGGGGGUGUAUAUAUGAGAAUUCUUGCCAGAUUUGUAAGUGGCUAUUAUUUAAGUCUUUUGCCAUUUACAGACAGUAGUUGUUUGAUGGUUUUGCAGAAGUGUUCCUGCAGAAAUGCUUCAUUUUGAAAGAAAUUCAUGGGAAAGAUCUUGACAAUUAUUCAAAGAUGCAGGCUUCUGGCAACUUUCAUAACACUGAACUGGGUAAGAAUUUCUAAGGCUCUAAUGGAAAACGGAUUCAUAAAGCUGCUAACCCAAGAUGAAACAAAACAAGAAUUACAUACAACUAAAUGAACUUAUGAAGAUGACUAGAAUUUUUAUUUCAUUUAAAACACAACUGAUUCUUUAAUGUUUUUUAGAUUUAGAGGACCCCUUUUUCUCCUCUCUUAAGCUAUCUAUAACUUACAGCAAUUUGGUAAAGUGUAUGUUUGCAACAAAGGCUGAAGCAUUUAUCGCUCUCUCUCCACGGGAUCUCUCCAGAUUUUGAAAACCAUUUAAUUAGUUCAGGAUCGCCUCGGUGGCUGUCAGUUGAGUGUCUGACUCUUGAUUUCGGCUCAGGUCAUGAUCUCCGGGUUGUGAGUCUGAGCCCCGUGUAGGGCUCCACACUGGGCACAGAGGCUGCCUAAGAUUCUCUCUCUCCCCCUGCCCCCCCCACCCCCGCUCGCACUUGCAUGCAUGCACACACACUGUCCCUCCCUCUCAAAAAAAAAAUGUUAGUUCAGGGGUGCCUGGGUGGCUCCAGUCGUUAAGCGUCUGCCUUCGGCUCAGGUCAUGAUCCCAGGGUCCUGGGAUCGAGCCCCGCAUCGGGCUCCUUGCUCAGCGGGAGGCCUGCUUCUCCUUCUCCCACUUCCCCUGCUUGUGGUCCUGCUCUCACGAUCUCUCUGUCAAAUAAAUAAAAUCUUAAAAAAAAAAAAAAAGUUCAGUAAGAAUCUGUUCUCUUUGUAACAGGACACAGUUAGGUAAGUCCUAGGCUUGGCUUCCUAGCCUCAAGCUUUUGAAAGUCCAAUCUGAGAUUCCUUAUGAAAAGUCCCAGCAAAGCAGUCAAUCCCUAUUCUUGCUGCAGUUGUGUAACUAAUUAGGCCAACUUUAUUGAAACUAGAUUUAAUUUGUAAACAAAUUAGUCUACUGUCAUUAUCUCUGAUCAUAAUGGGGAGUGAUGAGAAAAAUUACCUUUCAGGAUAGCUGGGUGGCUCAGUCGGUUAAGCGUCUGCCUUCGGCUCAGGUCAUGAUCCCAGGGUCCUGGGAUCAAGUUCCGAGUCAGGCUCCUUGCUCAGCGGGGAGCCUGCUGCUCCCUCUGCUUGUGUGCUCUCUCUCCCUGACAAAUAUAUAAAUAAAAUCUUUAAAAAACAUAAAAAUAAAAUCUUACAAUUACCUUUCAAUAAUAUACCUUUGUGGAUACUGGAUUCUAGUGCUGUUGUCUUUGAGGUUUGUUUUCUACCUGUAAACUAGACUAGUUCCUGAAUUCUUCUAGUUUGCUCCAGUAUUUGGCUAGAACUCUCCAACUAACAUGUCCAGUUUUGACUUAGAAUCAGUAUGAAACUAAAACUGCCCUUUUCCCAGAGCCAUGCAAGCUUAAAGCUGCGCAACCUGAUACAAACUUCAGAGAAAUCCUCACAACAGCUCGUAUGUCUCAUUCACAUUGCAAACCAGGAAAAUCUGUCAGACUCUCACUGCUUGCCCCCACUCCAUCUGAACCCAACACUAGAAAUUUUCUCAACUGACAGUUCUCCAAUUUGCUAUUAAUCUUUCUCUUUUGUUUCCACUGAAAUGCGUCUGGUUAAAUUAUCUGUUUGUUCACAUUAUAUAGAGACCUAAUUUAGGUGAAAGCUCAACUGAAACAGGACAGGACGAAUAUAAGGAUGUUUUAAGUAAUCACAAGGAUGUGAAUGCUAAUUCAUCAUGUUGUGCCUAUGUAUAUAAAUGGGUUUCUUUUUUUUUUUUUUUUUUCCAAGUGGUUAUCUCCACUCUGGAGAAUUUUUCAGUCCUUUGUGGUGUUUUCCUUACAGUCAUCAUAUUCACCUCUCCAGUGUAUUGUAUACUCUUGAGGGUUUUUAAUGCCGUCAGCAGCCACUGACAUACCAAUUAUCAGACAACUGGAUGAACUCAACAAUAACCACAGAUAUGAUGAAGACGGUGACUACAUGGCCCUCCAGUCUGACAACUCAACUGGAUGAAAACCCUGAACAUGUGAUUCUUUGGCGUGACUAAAUUAAUGGUGGUAACUGAGAAUAACACUAUACUGGUUAAUAGUAUACUCAGCCUGCUAAGAAAAUGACCAAAAGGGGGUAAUUAUUAAAAACAAAUGGAGAGGGGCGCCUGGGUGGCUCAGUUGUUGGGCGUCUGCCUUCAGCUCAGGUCAUGAUCUCAGGGUCCUGGGAUCGAGCCCCACAUCGGGCUCCCUGCUCGGCGGGAGGCCUACUUCUCCCUCUCCCACUCCCCCUGCUUGUGUUCCCUCUCUCGCUGUGUCUCUGUCAAAUAAAAUAUUAAAAAAACAAAAACAAAUGGAGACCAGCCUUAAAAAUUCCUUGGGCCGACAAAACCAGUUUAGCCAUACACAGUAAACUUAGUUUAUUUUGCAAGAUUAACUUGACCUGGGUCAUUUCUUGCUUAUGCAAAACUUGAAAUGUUUCCCCAGGUUGAUAUGAGGGGACCACUGACCAAUUCCCUAUUAAUCGCUGGGAAGAAUAAACAGUCACUGCUUUCCCACUAUAUAAGCUGUUUGAUAAUAUACCUUUGAGCCUCAUUCCGUGGUGUGAAUGCUCCCAGGAUAUGCACAAUAAACAAUCACUACUUUGGUGAUUGGUGUUACUUCUGUUAUAUAUAAUGCUGCUGUUAAAGUUCAGAAAUAGCCAAAAUUUGGUAACCAACUGGUGAAUGGAUAAACAACAUGUGUGAUACAUACAUAAGAUGACAUACUAUUCAGCAAUAAAAAUGCUAUAGUAUAGAUAGAGGUGAACCUCAAAAAAUUUAUACUAAGAAGCCAGAUGCAAAACUAUCUAGAAUACGAUUUUACUUAUACCCAGGAAAGGCAAAUUUAUAGACAGAAACCAUAUUAUGGUUGCUUGGGGAGAAGUGGAGAUGGACUGCAAGAAGGGUCAUAAAAAUUUGGGGGCGAGGAUUGAUGAAAAUGUUUAAAUUUGGAUUAUGAUAAUGUUGGCACAACUCUAAACUUAGUAAAUGAUGGAUUGUAAACAUGGUGAACGAAUUUUAUAUAAAUUAUAUCUCAAUAAAACUGGAUCCAAAAAAGGCACAUUGAUUUAGUAUUGCAUUAGAGUAGAUAUUGAGAAGUGAGACAAGUAGAAGGAAAAUUAGAACACUGUUAGAAUAUAAUACAAAUAGCCCUGUAUCAUUUCAGUCCUGGGCUCUGGUUUCCAGAUAAGAAAAAAGAACAUUGUUUGCAGAUGAAUGGGGUUGGGGAGGGGAAUCAGGGAAUUUAUGGUCACGUAAAAAUUUCAUUACUCUUGGCCAGAGGCCAAAACGGAAACAUUAAAAAAAAAAGUUGCAAAGCUUCAGGCAGAACGCAGUUAUUUUCUGAAUGAAAACCAAUACUGUGGAGUCACAUUUAUGAAAGGAUUUAUAAUAUCAAGUUAAGGGUCUCGUGUAUAAAACUGAUACUUGAGACAAGAAGUGAUAGACACAUCUAUGCCAAAGUAAUGUUACAUAUCCUGAAUUAUCCUUUAUAAAUUCCUGAUUUUUUAAUUUACUCAAACUUCAGGGGGCGCCCUGGGUGGCUCAGUCAGUUAAGCAUCUGCCUUCAGCUCAGGUCAUGAUCCCAGAGUCCCGGGAUGGAGCCCCACAUCGGGCUCCCUGCUCAGUGGGGAGUCUGCUUCUCCCUCUGCCCCUGCUUGCUCACUCACUCUUUCUCAAAAUCUUAAGGAAAAAAAAACACUUCAGGUAUGACAAGUAUCUGGGACUAAAAACUGUUAAGGUCUACUAAAUUUUACAAAGGGGUCUAGCUAUAAUAAGAGAAAGGUAAGUGAAUAUCAAGACAAAACUAUGCCCCUUUUUUUGGCUCUAGAGUGGCAGUGGCAACACUCGGAGUUACUAAAGACCAAUUUUUUUUUUUUUAAUAAAAUACACUUUUAUUUUUUAAGUAAGUGCUAGGCCCAACGCGGGGAUUGAUCUCAUGACCUUGAAAUCAAGAGUCCCAUGCUGUACUUACUGAGCCAGCCAGGCACCCUCUGAAGGACUCUCCCAUUACUAUUAGUUCCUGGAUAAAAUAACAUUUAAAAAUGCUUACUAGAGGGCGCCUGGGUGGCUCAGAUGGUUGAGCGUCUGCCUUCCGCUCAGGUCAUGAUCCCAGGGUCCUGGGAUCGAGUCCCGCAUCAGGCUCUCUGCUCCUUGGGAGCCUGCUUCUCCCUCUGCCUCUCCCUCUGUCUCUCAUGAAUAAAUAAAUAAAAAUCUUUAAAAAAAAAAAAAAUGCUUACUAGAUUUUCAGGAAAGCAGGGAAACCUCCAAGGACAAUAUAUAAGCAGGAAUGGUAAGUAAACAGAAAAGCCAUGGUUGUCCUGAGGACAAAUGCCCUUACCAGCACUGGGAUUGAGACUAAGCCUUGGUUGAACAGUAAGGGGAUGAGCUGAGCCUGAUACCCCAAAUUAGGCCAGGAACCAAGGAGAGGGCUAAAGUGUCCCAGGGGCAGUUCCUGGCCUAGAAAAGCAAAUGCAAAACCUCUCUGAGAGAACAUGCCCAAUUUAGAACCUCUGGAUCCCCACAAGUUCAACCAAGAAAGCAUUCACAAAAUAAAAUCACCACACACGGUGGUAGAAUGGCACCAUAAAGAAAAAUCCAGCGACAAUAAACAGAUUUAGGACCCCCCCCCAAAAAAAAAACUUCAGAUACUAGGAUUACCAGCCAUAGUUGAUAUAAAAUUAACUAUUAUGAAAUGCUCAAACAAAAAGAAUGAAAAAGCUUUAGGCCAAGCCUAUCUAAAAGAGAAUGAAAUAGUACUUUUGGGAAUGAAAAACAGCAGUUGAAAUUAGAGAUUCAGCGGUGUAACAGCAGAUUAAACUUUUAUUACUUCUCAUUUCAGCUCUGUGUAAAGUCCCAGAAAAAGAAGUGAUACUCAAAGAGUCCGUGGUUGAAAUUUUCUGAGCAGAAAGAUACAUGACGAAUACAGAGACACAUAUCUAGAUGCAUUUUAGUGAAACCACAGAUCAGAACAGAUGAAAAGAUUUUAAGAGCAGAAAGUAAAAGGAGAUCCCAUAGGAAGAAAAGGAUAGCAGUUAACUUAAACUACAAAGGAAACCAGGUAAUAGUGGAAUAACUUCAAACUGUUGAAAGAAAAGUAUUAACUAGUACUGUACCCAGUAAAACUAUGAAGAGUUAAGUGUUGUAUACUUGAAAUCUGCUGAGAGUAGACCUUAAGUGUUCUCACCAGAUGCACACAUAAAAGUAACUAUGAGGUGAUGGAUGUAUAUGUGUUAAAUCAUGUUCUCUCUCUCUCUCUCUAUAUAUAUAUAUACACACACAUACAUAUAUAUAUUUUUAAAUAUAAUCUCUACACCCAAUAUGGACCUCAAACUCAGCCCUGAGACCAAGAAUUGCAUGCUCUGACUGAGGCAGCCAAGUACCCCUAUGUUCUAUACUUCAAAUAUACAAUUUUGUCAACUACAACAAAGCUAAAAAAAAAUUUUUAGAUAUAAAAAUGGCAGUAAAAUGACAUUUGCAGAUGAAUAGAAACUGAGCGAUUAACUAGAACUUCCUUAAAGUAACUUAUAGAAAUACAUCCUUUAGAAAAUAAAUUACCUCAGAAGGAACCUCUGAGAUCACAAAAGAAAAAUGAUCAAAGUGAACCCAAAUAAAUAUUGUUUACAUGUGGAUUGGAAACAACUAAAAUACUGAAUAACAAAGGUUGGAUGAGGUGAUGAAUUUUAGUGUUCUAAGGCCCUCAGUGUUUAGGAAGGCAUUUAAUGUACUAAGUAACUUUAGAUUGUUGAAGAUUUCAAUGCACAUGUAAGGUUAACUACUAAAAGAACAGGAAGGGGUGGAGGGAAAACACACAAAAACAUUAAAACAAAGGCAAAGGUCUUGGACAAAAAUGGAAGUUCUGGUAAAAUUUCUGACCACUUAACCUGCCCAACCCCCAAAAAACAGGACAAGUAGGAUAACAAAAUUAACCUAUGUACAACAUCCUAAUUAAACUAGGUGUUUCAGGAACCCCAAAAUUUGGGCAGGUAUAAGACCUGUGAGAAAUUAGCAACUGAGCAGGGGGAAAGCAACCAGGAAUGUGAACCACAAAAGAGGGUAACAUACUGAUUGGAAAAUUCAGAGGACUAGCUCCAGAACAGUACUGAAACUGGAUGGGGUUUUGCCUUCUCAAAUAUUGAGAGCAAAGGGUUUGAGACCGGUCUGAAAAGGCUGAAGUAUUUUUGGGCCCAUGAACUCUCAAAACCAGUGAAAGCUCCCUUCCAGGAUAAAGUCCCUAGAAACAAAUACACAUCUGAAGACACACAACUUAAAAUGCUCAACUCUUUUUAAAAUCAGCAUACACCUAAAACCUCAACACAUACAACUAAUCGUAAAGUAGAAUGUCAAUACACUUCCUCUCUUGAGGAAGAGAUUAGCCAAAGAAAAAAAUGGCAAAGUAUAGAAGAUUGAGCAGCAUGAACUGCUAGUUUGAUAUAAUGCACAAAUACAGAAACUGCACCAAAACAGGCUUUUUAAGAAUACAUAAAUAAAGGGCGCCUGAGUGGCUCAGUUGGUUAAGCGACUGCCUUCAGCUCAGGUCAUGAUCCUGGAGUCCCAGGAUCGAGUCCGCAAUGGGCUCCCUGCUCGGCAGGGAGUCUGCUUCUCCCUCUGACCCUCCUCCCUCUCAUGCUCUCUGUCUCUCAUUCUCUCUCUCUCAAAUAAAUAAAAUAAAAUCUUUAAAAAAAAAAAAUACAUAAAUAAAAUUUAACUCCAUAAUUGGCCAUGAAACAAGUUCAAUACAUUUCCAUGAAGUGGAGUCAAACAGAUCAUGAUCACUGAUGAAAUGAAAAAUAGUAAUUUAAAAAUAUACUUCUAGGGCGCCUGGGUGGCUCAGUUGGUUAAGUGACUGCCUUCGGCUCAGGUCACGAUCCUGGAGUCCCAGGAUCAAGUCCCGCAUCGGGCUCCCUGCUGGGCGGGGAGUCUGCUUCUCCCUCUGACCCUCCUCCCUCUCAUGCUCUCUGUCUCUCAUUCUCUCUGUCUCAAAUAAAUAAUAAAAUAAAAUAAAAUAAUUUAAAAGUAUACUUCUAAACUCCUGGCUCAAAGGAAAACUUGUAAUAAGCAUUUUAAAAAUGUUUAGAAGUGGGCGCCUGGGUGGCUCAGUUGGUUAAGCAACUGCCUUCGGCUCAGGUCAUGAUCCUGGAGUCCCUGGAUCGAGUCCCACAUCGGGCUCCCUCCUUGGCAGGGAGUCUGCUUCGUCCUCUGACCCUAUCCCCUCUCAUGUGUUCUCUCUCUCUCAUUCUCUCUCUCUCAAAUAAAUAAAUAAAAUCUUAAAAAAAAAAAAAUGUUUAGAAGUGAAAAUGAAAUGAAAUAAUGAAAAUAAAACUUGUGGGAUCCAGAAAAUGAUGGUAUUUUAAAAAAUAAAACUUGCCAAAACUGACUUAAAAAUUCUAAAAUAUCCUAUUAUCAAUAAAAUAAUGAACUGGUAGUUAAUUUUUCCACAAAAGAAAACUGUAGGCCCCCGUGGUUUUACAAUGAGGUUCUAUCAGAUGUUCAAAAAGUGGAUUAUUUCAAUGUUAAGGAAUUCAGAGAAAAGAAUAUUCCAUAACUCAUUCUAUGAGGCUAAAAACUAUGAAAACAAAGUAACAGAUUAAUCUCAUUCCUGAGCACAGAUGUAAAAGUCCUAAACAAAAUAUCAGCAAUUAAAGUUCAGAAGUGUAUUUUUAAAAAAUGAUCGUUCCUUAAUGAGCAAGUUGCUUUAGCCCAAGAAUGGCUAACAUUUAAAAAUUUUUAAAUGUGUAAUUCACCACAUUACCAGAUUAAAGUAGAAUAAACACAUUUACUUCAAGAGGAAAAGAAAGUGUUUUAUAAAUUUCUACCCCUAUAAUAAAAGCUUAAUAAAAUAGAAGGAAACUUCCUUGCCCUGAUAAAGAGUAGCAAAACCUAGUAAAAUUCAAUAUUGUAGGGCUGUUAGUACUCCCUAAAUAACUACAGAUUAAAUAUGAUUCUAGUUAAAGAAAAAAGGGGCGCCUGGGUGGCUCAGUCAGUUAAGCGUCUGCCUUCGGCUAAGGUCGUGAUCGCGGAGUCAGCGGGAAGCCUGCUUCUCCCUCUCCCACUCCCCCUGCUUGUGUUCCCUCUCUCACUGCCUCUCUCUCUCUGUCAAAUAAAUAAAUAAAAUCUUUAAAAAAAAGAAUCUCCUGUUGUUUUUCUUCCCAAAGAAUUUGACAACUGAUUCUAAUAUUUAAUGAAAGAGCAAAAGGCCAAGAACACUCCUUAAAGUGAAGGGAGACUUGCUCUAUAAGCUAUCAAGACUUGUAAUCAAGUUACAGUAAUUAAAAUAAUGUGCCACCUUAGCUCUUGGUUAGACAAAUUAACCAAUAGAAUGGCAAAGAAAGUCCCAAAAUAGACAUUUAUGUGGAAAUUCGCCAUGUAGAUAAAGUCCCCAAGGAAAGGAUGGAUUAGUCAAUAAACAGCAGAAAGAAAACCAGUUAUCCACAUAGUAAAAAAUUAAAUUGCUUCUCACACAUACAUAAAUCAAUUCCAAGGGGACUAAAGGCAAAUGUGAGACUCUGACUGCUAGAGGAGACUAUAAGAAAGAUCUUAAGCCAUAGGAUGCCUGGCUGGCUCAGUUGGUGGAGCAUACGACUCUUGAUCUCAGGGUUGUAUUCCAGCCCCAUGUUGGGUGUAGAGAUUACUUAAGAAUCUUAAAAAAUGUGUUUUUUUUAAGGAUUUAAAAAAAAUUUUUUUUUUAGAUUUGAGAGUGUGCAUGCAUGCACACAAGCAGGAGGAGAAGCAGAAGGAGAGGGACAGAGAGCAUUUCAAGCAGACUCUGCGCUGACUGCGGAGCCUGACAGAUGUGUGGAGGUGAUCUCACAACCAUGAGAUCAUGACCUGAGCCACCCAGGCGUCCCUUAAAAAAAAAAAAAUCUUAAGACAUAAAAAUAACUAUAUUUGAAUGUGUUAAAAUUAACAGUAGAAAUAUUAGUAUCCUAUUAUGAAGAACUCUUCUAAGAAAAAAAUGACAAAAGACACCAGGAAGUAUUUCACAGAAGAAACAAGAAUAGUGAAAACAUGUUCAACUCAUUAGGAAAAUGCAAAUUAAAGCCACAAAAUGUCAUUUUUCACCUACCAGAUUGGCAAGAAUCAGAUCUUCUAGUAGUAAACAAAUGAUAAACCAUAUUGUAAACUAGCACAACCAUUCUGGAAAAUAACUAUAUUAUUUCUUAUAAAACUGUUAAAAAGCUAAUCAGGCACAUACCUUACAACCAACUCUGCUUCUAGGGAUACACUCUAAAGAAAUUCUUGUAGAUCUGUACCAAGAAACUAAUGAAUGUUCAUUUUAGAAUUGUCUGUAAAAGCCAAAAACAAAAAUAAGGAAAACUAUACCCAAUUAAAUUAUAAAAAUGAGCCUGUUGAAUGGAAAAAUCAAGUAACGUAAGACUACAUAUUAAGUACAAUACUAUUUUGCAUAAAGUUCACCAAAAAAAGUAAACAUUAUGUAGGAUAUAUAGAUAUAUAUAUAUAAAGCAAAAAACAAAAAAGUGAUUGAUUCAGGACAAUAGUUACCUCUGGGGAAGAGGGUAAGCUGGGUACUGGAAUUGGGAAGAACAUGAAAGUACAGUCAAUACUAUCAGAAAUGUUCUAGUUCUUAAUUAGUGAGUGUGUACAUAGGCAUUUAUUUAUUCAUUAACUCCAUACGCAUAUAUUUUUAUAUAUGAAUUAAACAUUACAUAAAGAAAUAUAGUGACCAGUGGUUGCCAGAGGUUGGGUGUGGGGGGUGGACAAAGUCGGGGAAGGUGGUCAAAAGACACAAACUUCGUUAUAAAGUAAGUCCUGGAGAUACAAUUACAGCAUGGUGACUGUAGUUAAUAAUGCUGUGUUGUAUAUUUGAAAGUUGCCAAUAAGAGAGAUCUUAAAAGUUCUCACCAGAAGAAAAAAUUGUAACUGUGUUGUGAUGAAUCUUGACUUGUUUCACAAAAUAUACAUAUAUUGAAUCAUUAUGGUGUACACCUAAAACUGUUAUAUGUCAAUUAUAUCUCAGCUAAAAAAGUGACCAGAAACACUUUUAUAUUGCUAAGACACUAUGAAAAAGGAAAUCAUCUUCCCUUAAAUGUAUGUACACUACCUUGUAAAAGCAGAUGUAUAGUAUAGCUGGUUAGGUGGAACAAUGGGGUUUUUUGGUCACAAUACAGGUUGUAACCACGCAUUAGUUAUGGAUCUUGGACAAGUCAUUUAAUGUCUUUGAAUCUAUUUUUUAACUGUAAAAUACAGAAUUAUUAUAAAGAUUAAAAUGCUAUAAAGUGGUACAAACUACAUUUUUUAAAAAUUAUAUUUUCCCCUUGACUAUUACCCCAAUUUAAGAAACCCCCUUAUAGGGCACCUGGGUGGCUCAGUCGGUUAAGCAUCCAACUCUUGAUUUCAGUUCAGGUCAUGAUCUCAGGGUCCUGGGAUCAAGCUCUGCGUCAGGCUUCCUGCUCAGCAGGGAGCCUGCUCAAGGAUUUUUCUCCCUCUCCCCCCACCCAACAUGUGCUCUCUAAAAUAAAUCAAUCUUUUUUUUUAAGAUUUUAUUCAUUUAUUUAAUUGACAGAGAGAGAGAGAGAUGGCAAGAGAGGGAACACAAGCAGGGGGAGUGGGAGAGGGAGAAGCAGGCUUCCCACUGAGCAGGGAGCCCGAUGCGGGGCUCGAUCCCAGGACCUGAGCCGAAGGGAGUCGCUUAACCGCUGAGCCACCCAGGCGCCCUAAAUCAAUCUUUUAAAAAAAGAAAAAGAAGCCCCUUAUAUUCUAAAGAGUUUGUUCAGGUAGGCUGAACUUAGCUUCAACCAUUAAUAUAAUGGAAGAGUAACUGUUUAAAACAACAAAAACCACCAGAAUUUUUGCAUCAAAUAAUAUUUCCCCUCAAAGAAGCUAUAUACUUCUUUCACCAAAGUUACUAUUGCUCAGGGGCGCCUGGGUGCCUCAGUGGGUUAAGCAUCUGCUUUCCGUUCAGGUCAUGAUCCCAGGGUCCUGGGAUGGAGCCCCGAAUCAUGCUCCCUACUCAGCAGGGAGUCUGCUUCUCCCUCUCCUGCUCCCCCUGCUUGUGCUCUCUCUCACACACACUUGCUCUCUAAUAAAUAAAAUCUUUUAAAAAAAAAAGUUACUAUCGCUCAGGGUGAUUUUAGAAAUCUUCCAUUGGAACGGUCUAUUUGCGAAAAAAUUUUUCCAGUAAACGAAAAUCUUAAUUUUUUGAGGGUAGAUGUCCCCUGUUGUAACUGUAAGAUAUUUUUAAUCAAGCUUGAUGAAUAAAGUACACAUGGCUGUAAUCAAGAUUUUGGUCAAAAUUAACAUGACUGGGCGCCUGGCUAAGGCACCCCUUAAAAACUUUUUAAAUUAAAAAUAGCGUAUGACUAAAAUGAGUGACAAGACUAAUUCUCUUGGAUGUCUUACAAAUGGAUUCUUCUGGCCAUUUUCAGAAAAAUAUUUAGCAAUGGCAACAUAAUUGGAAAAGAAAAAACAAACUUGGAAGGACAACAUUCAUCCUAAUGCAUAAAGAAUCUCAUUUCUAUACAAGUCUGCAGUUGCUGAAGAGACCAUUGCUUUAAUCAGUUACUAAGAUUAGUGAAACUACUUACAUUAGUUGCCUACAUCCUUUAUUUUUUAAUUAUUAUUAUUAUUUUAAGUAGGCUCCAUGCCCAGCAUGGAGCCCAAUGCAGGCCUUGAACUCACAACCCUGAGAUCAAGACUUGAGCUGAGAUCAAGAGUCAGAUGCUUGGGGCGCCUGGGUGGCUCAGUCGUUAAGCCUGCUUCUCCCUCUCCCACUCCCCCUGCUUGUGUUCCCUCUCUCGCUAUGUCUCUGUCAAAGAAAUAAAUAAAUCUUGGGCACCUGGGUGGCUCAGUUGGUUAAGCGACUGCCUUCGGCUCGGGUCAUGAUCCUGGAGUCCCGGGAUCGAGUCCCGCGUUGGGCUCCCUGCUCGGCGAGGAGCCUGCUUCUCCCUCUGACCCUCCCCCCCUCUCAUGUGCUCUCUCUCAUUCUCGCUCUCUCAAAUGAAUAAAUAAAUCUUUAAAAAAUAAAAAAUAAAAAAAUAAAUCUUUAAAAAAAAUGUGAUGUAAAAAAACAGAAAACGUUCUUAACUGAUAAGAUAUGAAUUAGAUUCUAAAUGCAUUCUCUAUCAUGUAAGACAUGGAGAGAAAAAAGAAACAAAGAAAAUUCUUAAGUUUACCCUUGGCAAUAGGAGUUUAUAUAAUUUCAACAAUCUCUUAUCUAGGCAUUUAACAGCAUUAUAAAUUCAAAAUGUGUGUGGGAAUUAAGAGAAAAAAUAAUAUUCCUUAAAGGGAGUACAAAGUUUAUUUAAACAUUUAAAAUAAUUUAAAAUAAUCAGUUACACAGAGUACAAUGAAAUUAACCAAAACCAAUACCAAGUAAUUUGUUUUUAAAGUGGCAAUACAAUAUAGGAAAAUGGUGGCUUUAAUAACUUUAUGGGACAAUCACACAAAAGCACCUACUUCUUGAAGAAAUAAUAAUAUGCAAAUUUUCACCAUUUCAAAAUUUUAUCUCUGUAUCACUUUUUGGUUCUCUUAUUAACAUCUGAGGUUAAAAUGAAAGGCCUCACAAUUAAGUAGCCAUAUUCUUUUAAUAAUGUCAUCUCUUUAUUCCUAUGAAUUUAAUCAUCUUUUAAUUGCAUGAUUCCUUCAGCCUGAUUCUCAUUUUAUAUCUCAAAGAAUGUUUUUAAUAAACUGUGAGUACUGGUUCCACUAUUUAUCUUUCAUAACCAUUUUCAGGUCCUUCAAAACUAUGCUUCUAACGAUCUACACAUAAUAUAACAGACAGCCACAUGUUUUCUUCACUUCGCUUUACUUCCCUUAUGAGUAGUUCCUAUUUUAUGGGUAGCUAGGGUAUGUUAGUAUGUUAGAUGACUACGGUAUAGUAAAAACCAGAAAUAGACAUUUAACACCUUAAAAAAAAAAAAAUUUAACACCUUUAUGUUCCUAAACUCUACACAC